rnacentral:rRNA from 2 species
CAAACGACUCUCGGCAACGGAUAUCUCGGCUCACGCAUCGAUGAAGAACGUAGCAAAAUGCGAUACUUGGUGUGAAUUGCAGAAUCCCGUGAACCAUCGAGUUUUUGAACGCAAGUUGCGCCCGAAGCCAUCCGGCCGAGGGCACGCCUGCCUGGGCGUCACGU